CUUCACGUUGAGCCUCACGUACAAUACCUGAAGAUGAGUUUUGUUCGUUCGGCUCGCGUUACGCAGGU
rnacentral:pre_miRNA from 1 species